AUUUGAAAUCUGGCGCAAGCCCGAGUUGUAAUUUGUAGAGGAUGCUUCUGGGUAGCGGCCGGUCUAAGUUCCUUGGAACAGGACGUCAUAGAGGGUGAGAAUCCCGUAUGUGACUGGCUUGCACCCUCCACGUAGCUCCUUCGACGAGUCGAGUUGUUUGGGAAUGCAGCUCUAAAUGGGAGGUAAAUUUCUUCUAAAGCUAAAUACCGGCCAGAGACCGAUAGCGCACAAGUAGAGUGAUCGAAAGAUGAAAAGCACUUUGGAAAGAGAGUUAAAAAGCACGUGAAAUUGUUGAAAGGGAAGCGCCCGCAACCAGACUUUGCGGCAGUGUUCAGCCGGUCUUCUGACCGGUUUACUCGCUGUCGUGAGGCCAUCAUCGUCUGGGACCGCUGGAUAAGACCUUAGGAAUGUGGCUCCCCUCGGGGAGUGUUAUAGCCUCUGGUGAUGCAGCGCGUCUCGGGCGAGGUCCGCGCUUCGGCAAGGAUGAUGGCGUAAUGGUUGUCGGCGGCCCGUCUUGAAACACGGACCAAGGAGUCUAACAUCUAUGCGAGUGUUUCGGGUGUCAAACCCCCUACCCGUAAAUGAAAAGUGAAACGGAGGGUGGGGAAACUUUUUUGUUGCACCCAUUCCGACCCCGAUCCCCUGAAUUGUUCCUUCCAGGAUGGGGAUUUUUGAAAGUUAAAAGAAGCCAAUUAAGCCCUUGUUUUGGGGGGGAACCCCCCGAAAAAAAGAAAUGGGGGUUGGAAAACUUUUAAUUGCCCCCUUGGAAAAAUUAAAGGGGGGGUUGGGAAAAAGGCCCCCAAGGGAAAGGGGGAAAAAAAACCUUUCCCUUUUGGGGGGUUGGGGGGAAAAGGGGGGGCCUUUCCCCGGGCCCCAAAGGGCCCCGGGGGGGGUUUUUUUCCCCUUUUGGGGAAA
rnacentral:rRNA from 1 species